UACGUAGGGCGCAAGCGUUGUCCGGAAUUAUUGGGCGUAAAGAGCUCGUAGGCGGCUUGUCACGUCGGGUGUGAAAGCCCGGGGCUUAACCCCGGGUCUGCAUUCGAUACGGGCUAGCUAGAGUGUGGUAGGGGAGAUCGGAAUUCCUGGUGUAGCGGUGAAAUGCGCAGAUAUCAGGAGGAACACCGAUGGCGAAGGCAGUUCUCUGGGCCGUAACUGACGCUGAGGAGCGAAAGCGUGGGGAGCGAACAGG
rnacentral:rRNA from 1 species